rnacentral:rRNA from 1 species
UACGUAGGGGGCGAGCGUUGUCCGGAGUUACUGGGCGUAAAGCGCUUGUAGGCGGUCCACCAAGUUUGGGGUGACAGUUGCCGACUUAAUCGGCAAAGUGCCUCAAAGACUGGCGGACUUGAGGGCCACAGAGGGACAUGGAACUCCAGGUGUAGUGGUGAAAUGCGUAGAUAUCGGGAGGAACACCUGUGGCGAAAGCGGCGCACUGGACCACAACUGACGCUGAGGCGCGAAAGCUAGGGGAGCAAACAGG